UACGUAGGAGGCAAGCGUUGUCCGGAAUUACUGGGUGUAAAGCGCGUGUAGGCGGCAGGCCAAGUCUGUGGUGAAAGCCCCCGGCUCAACUGGGGAGGGUCACGCGAUACUGAUCGACUCGAAGGCAGGAGAGGGUAGUGGAAUUCCCGGUGUAGUGGUGAAAUGCGUAGAUAUCGGGAGGAACACCAGUGGCGAAGGCGACUACCUGGCCUGUUCUUGACGCUGAGGCGCGAAAGCUAGGGGAGCAAACGGG
rnacentral:rRNA from 1 species